rnacentral:rRNA from 1 species
GCGGAGGGAUCAUUACUGAGUGAGGGCUUUCGGGCUCGACCUCCAACCCUUUGUGAACACAACUUGUUGCUUCGGGGGCGACCCUGCCGUUUCGACGGCGAGCGCCCCCGGAGACCAUCAAACACUGCAUCUUUGCGUCGGAGUUUAAGUAAAUUAAACAAAACUUUCAACAACGGAUCUCUUGGUUCUGGCAUCGAUGAAGAACGCAGCGAAAUGCGAUAAGUAAUGUGAAUUGCAGAAUUCAGUGAAUCAUCGAAUCUUUGAACGCACAUUGCGCCCUUUGGUAUUCCGAAGGGCAUGCCUGUUCGAGCGUCAUUUCACCACUCAAGCCUGGCUUGGUAUUGGGCGCCGCGGUCAAUCCGCGCGCCUCAAAGUCUCCGGCUGAGCUGUCCGUCUCUAAGCGUUGUGAUUUCAUUAAUCGCUUCGGAGUGCGGGCGGCCGCGGCCGUUAAAUCUUUCACAAGGUUGACCUCGGAUCAGGUAGGGAUACCCGCUG